GUGCCUAAUACAUGCAAGUCGAGCGGACAGAUGGGAGCUUGCUCCCUGAUGUUAGCGGCGGACGGGUGAGUAACACGUGGGUAACCUGCCUGUAAUACUGGGAUAACUCCGGGAAACCGGGGCUAAUACCGGAUGGUUGUUUGAACCGCAUGGUUCAAACAUAAAAGGUGGCUUCCGCUACUUUUUACUUAUGUACCCCU
rnacentral:rRNA from 1 species